rnacentral:rRNA from 1 species
CCUACGGGAGGCAGCAGUGAGGAAUAUUGGUCAAUGGACGAGAGUCUGAACCAGCCAAGUAGCGUGAAGGAUGACUGCCCUAUGGGUUGUAAACUUCUUUUAUAAAGGAAUAAAACAAGGCACGUGUGCCUUUUUGCAUGUACUUUAUGAAUAAGGAGCGGCUAACUCCGUGCCAGCAGCCGCGGUAAUACGGAGGAACCGAUCGUUAUCAGGAUUUAUAGGGUUGAAAGGGAGCGUAGAUGGGUUUUUAAGUCUGUUGUGAAAGUUUGCGGCUCAACCGUAAAAUUGCAAUUGAAAGUGGCAGUCGUGAGUACAGUUGAGGUAGGCGGAAUUCGUGGUGUAGCGGUGAAAUGCUUAGAUAUCACGAAGAACCCCGAUUGCGAAGGCAGAUUACUAAACUGUGACUGACAUUGAUGCUCGAAAGUGUGGGUAUCAAACAGGAUUAGAUACCCCAGUAGUC